ACGACAUUACCUAGAGAUUGUGGGCUCUGCCUGCUACCUCUUACCCAUGUCUUUUGAGUACUUACGUUUCCUCGGCGGGUUCGCCCGCCGAUUGGACAAAAAUAAACCCUUUGCAGUUGCAAUCAGCGUCUGAAAAACACAAUAGUUACAACUUUCAACAACGGAUCUCUUGGUUCUGGCAUCGAUGAAGAACGCAGCGAAAUGCGAUAAGUAGUGUGAAUUGCAGAAUUCAGUGAAUCAUCGAAUCUUUGAACGCACAUUGCGCCCCUUGGUAUUCCAUGGGGCAUGCCUGUUCGAGCGUCAUUUGUACCUUCAAGCCUUGCUUGGUGUUGGGUGUUUGUCUCGCCUCUGCGUGUAGACUCGCCUCAAAACAAUUGGCAGCCGGCGUAUUGAUUUCGGAGCGCAGUACAUCUCGCGCUUUGCUUUCUCGACGUCGACGUCCAAAAGUACAUUUUUUACACUCUUGACCUCGGAUCAGGUAGGGAUACCCGCUGAACUUAAGCAUAUCAAUAAGCGGAGGAA
rnacentral:rRNA from 1 species